GAUGAAGAACGCAGCGAAAUGCGAUACUUGGUGUGAAUUGCAGAAUCCCGUGAACCAUCGAGUCUUUGAACGCAAGUUGCGCCCGAAGCCACUAGGCCGAGGGCACGCCUGCCUGGGCGUCACACGCCGUUGCCCCCCCAUCUACUCCUUCGGGAUUGCGGGGGGCGGAUGAUGGCCUCCCGUGCGCCUCGUCGCGCGGUUGGCAUAAAUGCCAAGUCCUCGGCGACGCACGCCACGACAAUCGGUGGUUGCGAAACCUCGGUUGCCCGUCGUGUGCGGUCGUCGCGCAUCGAGGGCUCGAAAAAAUUGCCGGGCUCCGGCUCGGCUUUCAACGCGACCCCAGGUCAGGCGGGGUUACCCGCUGAAUUUAAGCAUAUCAAUAAGCGGAGGA
rnacentral:misc_RNA from 1 species